rnacentral:rRNA from 1 species
CCCCCUGGACAAAGACUGACGCUCAGAUGCGAAAGCGUGGGAGCAAACAGGAUUAGAUACCCUGGUAGUCACGCCGUAAACGAUGUCUACUUGAAGGUUGUGGCCUUGAGCCGUGGCUUUCGGAGCUAACGCGUUAAGUAGACCGCCUGGGGAGUACGGUCGCAAGAUUAAAACUCAAAUGAAUUGACGGGGGCCCGCACAAGCGGUGGAGCAUGUGGUUUAAUUCGAUGCAACGCGAAGAACCUUACCUACUCUUGACAUCCAGAGAAUUCGCUAGAGAUAGCUUAGUGCCUUCGGGAGCUCUGAGACAGGUGCUGCAUGGCUGUCGUCAGCUCGUGUUGUGAAAUGUUGGGUUAAGUCCCGCAACGAGCGCAACCCUUAUCCUUGUUUGCCAGCACAUAAUGGUGGGAACUCCAGGGAGACUGCCGGUGAUAAACCGGAGGAAGGUGGGGACGACGUCAAGUCAUCAUGGCCCUUACGAGUAGGGCUACACACGUGCUACAAUGGCGUAUACAGAGGGCUGCCAACCAGCGAUGGUGAGCGAAUCCCACAAAGUACGUCGUAGUCCGGAUCGGAGUCUGCAACUCGACUCCGUGAAGUCGGAAUCGCUAGUAAUCGUGAAUCAGAAUGUCACGGUGAAUACGUUCCCGGGCCUUGUACACACCGCCCGUCACACCAUGGGAGUGGGUUGCUCCAGAAGUAGAUAGCUUAACCUUCGGGAGGGCGUUUACCACGGAGUGAUUCAUGACUGGGGUGAAGUCGUAACAAGGUAGCCGUA